GAGUUUGAUCCUGGCUCAGGACGAACGCUGGCGGCGUGCCUAACACAUGCAAGUCGAACGGAGAUUUCAGCAAUGGAAUCUUAGUGGCGAACGGGUGAGUAACGCGUAGACAACCUACCUUCUAGAUGGGGACAACACUGCGAAAGUGGUGCUAAUACCGAAUGUUGUAUUAAGGGUGCAUAUCCUAAAUACUAAAGGUGGCCUCUAUUUAUAAGCCAUCACUAGAAGAUGGGUCUGCGUCUGAUUAGCUAGUUGGUGAGGUAAUGGCUCACCAAGGCGACGAUCAGUAGCCGGUCUGAGAGGAUGAACGGCCACACUGGGACUGAGACACGGCCCAGACUCCUACGGGAGGCAGCAGUGGGGAAUCUUCCGCAAUGGACGAAAGUCUGACGGAGCAACGCCGCGUGAGUGAAGAAGGUUUUCGGAUCGUAAAACUCUGUUUUCAGGGACGAAUGUGCGCAAUGUAAAUAAUGUUGUGUAAUGACGGUACCUGAGUAGAAAGCCACGGCUAACUACGUGCCAGCAGCCGCGGUAAUACGUAGGUGGCAAGCGUUGUCCGGAAUUAUUGGGCGUAAAGCGCGCGCAGGUGGGAUAUUAAGUCUGGUGUUAAAGUUCGGGGCUCAACCCCGUGAAGCAUUUGGAAACUGACAUUCUUGAGUGCAGGAGAGGAAAGUGGAAUUCCCAGUGUAGCGGUGAAAUGCGUAGAUAUUGGGAGGAACACCAGUGGCGAAGGCGACUUUCUGGACUGUGUCUGACGCUGAGGCGCGAAAGCCAGGGGAGUGAACGGGAUUAGAUACCCCGGUAAUCCUGGCCGUAAACGAUGGGUACUAGGUGUAGGAGGUAUCGACCCCUUCUGUGCCGGAGUUAACGCAAUAAGUACCCCGCCUGGGGAGUACGGCCGCAAGGUUGAAACUCAAAGGAAUU
rnacentral:rRNA from 1 species